rnacentral:rRNA from 1 species
CGAUGAACGGGAGCUUGCUCCUGGGAUUAGUGGCGAACGGGUGAGUAACACGUGAGUAACCUGCCCUUGACUCUGGGAUAAGCGUUGGAAACGACGUCUAAUACCGGAUAUGACCUGUGACGGCAUCGUCUGCAGGUGGAAAGAUUUUUUGGUCAAGGAUGGACUCGCGGCCUAUCAGGUAGUUGGUGAGGUAAAGGCUCACCAAGCCGACGACGGGUAGCCGGCCUGAGAGGGUGACCGGCCACACUGGGACUGAGACACGGCCCAGACUCCUACGGGAGGCAGCAGUGGGGAAUAUUGCACAAUGGGCGAAAGCCUGAUGCAGCAACGCCGCGUGAGGGAUGACGGCCUUCGGGUUGUAAACCUCUUUUAGUUGGGAAGAAGGGAGCUUGCUCUUGACGGUACCAGCAGAAAAAGCACCGGCUAACUACGUGCCAGCAGCCGCGGUAAUACGUAGGGUGCAAGCGUUGUCCGGAAUUAUUGGGCGUAAAGAGCUCGUAGGCGGUUUGUCGCGUCUGCUGUGAAAUCUGGGGGCUCAACCCCCAGUCUGCAGUGGGUACGGGCAGACUAGAGUGCGGUAGGGGAGAUUGGAAUUCCUGGUGUAGCGGUGGAAUGCGCAGAUAUCAGGAGGAACACCGAUGGCGAAGGCAGAUCUCUGGGCCGUUACUGACGCUGAGGAGCGAAAGCAUGGGGAGCGAACAGGAUUAGAUACCCUGGUAGUCCAUGCCGUAAACGUUGGGAACUAGAUGUAGGGGCCAUUCCACGGUUUCUGUGUCGCAGCUAACGCAUUAAGUUCCCCGCCUGGGGAGUACGGCCGCAAGGCUAAAACUCAAAGGAAUUGACGGGGGCCCGCACAAGCGGCGGAGCAUGCGGAUUAAUUCGAUGCAACGCGAAGAACCUUACCAAGGCUUGACAUAUACCGGAAACGUCCAGAGAUGGUCGCCCCGCAAGGUCGGUAUACAGGUGG